GGAACGGUCAAAAUAUAAUCGAUUGUAUGAAAAUGACAAUCGUUUGUUUAUGAAUAUAAUCGAUUGUAUGACAAAAACAAUCGAUUGUUUAGAUGUUUAAAAACGUCGGUUGCACACUGUCUCAAAAUAAUCGAUUGUUAAAAGUAGACAAUCGAUUGUUUGCUACUUUGAAAAACUUCAGAUCACACUGUCUUAAUACAAUCGAUUGUAGGUUUCAAAUAAUCGAUUGUUGAGGCCCAAAUUUAAAAGACAUGUUUAAAACCUUCAACAUCAUUUUGUUUUAACACAAAGAUGCAUGUUUAUGAUAAAUAUGAUUUAAUAAAAUAUUUUUUGCAUGUUUAUGAUGACCUAAUGUUGAGCCAAAG
rnacentral:lncRNA from 1 species